rnacentral:snRNA from 1 species
GUGAUCAUUUCCACAGCAUAUGUACUAAAAUUGGAACGAUACAGAGAAGAUUAGCACGGCCCCUGCACAAGGAUGACACACAAAUUCGUGAAGCGUUUCCUAUUUUA